CUGGCUCAGAAUGAACGCUGGCGGCGUGCUUAACACAUGCAAGUCGAACGAGAAAGUUCCCUUCGGGGGACAAGUAAAGUGGCGCACGGGUGAGUAACGCGUGGAUAAUCUGCCCUUGAAUUCGGAAUAACAUCGCGAAAGCGGUGCUAAUACCGGAUGAUGUUGUAUUUU
rnacentral:rRNA from 1 species